rnacentral:rRNA from 1 species
AGAGUUUGAUCAUGGCUCAGAACGAACGCUGGCGGCGUGCUUAACACAUGCAAGUCGAGUGCGCGCCUGUAGCAAUACAGGUGGCGCACGGCGCACGGGUGCGUAACACGUGGGUAACCUGCCCUUUAGUGGGGAAUAACCUCGCGAAAGCGAGGCUAAUUCCGCAUAAGAUCCGCAAGGAUGAAAGCCGAAAGGCGCUGAUGGAGGGGCCCGCGCACGAUUAGCUAGUUGGUGAGGUAAUGGCUCACCAAGGCUAUGAUCGUUAGCUGGUCUGAGAGGAUGGCCAGCCACACUGGAACUGAGACACGGUCCAGACUCCUACGGGAGGCAGCAGUGGGGAAUCUUGCACAAUGGGCGAAAGCCUGAUGCAGCGACGCCGCGUGGGGGAUGAAGCUUCUCGGAGUGUAAACCCCUUUCGACCCGGACGAAUACCUCGCAAGAGGGGUGACGGUACGGGUAUAAGAAGCCCCGGCUAACUACGUGCCAGCAGCCGCGGUAAGACGUAGGGGGCCAGCGUUGUUCGGAAUUACUGGGUGUAAAGGGUUCGUAGGCGGUGUGGCAAGUCGGGAGUGAAAUUUCUGGGCUCAACUCAGAGACUGCUUCCGAAACUGCUGUGCUGGAGUGUGGGAGAGGCGCGUGGAAUUGCAGGUGUAGCGGUGAAAUGCGUAGAUAUCUGCAGGAACACCCGUGGCGAAAGCGGCGCGCUGGACCACUACUGACGCUGAGGAACGAAAGCUAGGGGAGCAAACAGGAUUAGAUACCCUAGUAGUCC